GACGAACGCUGGCGGCGUGCUUAACACAUGCAAGUCGAGCGGUAAGGCCCUUUCGGGGGUACACGAGCGGCGAACGGGUGAGUAACACGUGGGUGACCUGCCCUUAGCUCUGGGAUAAGCCUGGGAAACUGGGUCUAAUACCGGAUAUGACCUCAUGACUCAUGUUGUGGGGUGGAAAGCCUUGUGCGGCUAGGGAUGGGCCCGCGGCCUAUCAGCUUGUUGGUGGGGUAAUUGCCACCAAGGCGACGACGGGUAGCCGGCCUGAGAGGGCGACCGGCCACACUGGGACUGAGACACGGCCCAGACUCCUACGGGAGGCAGCAGUGGGGAAUCUUGCGCAAUGGGCGAAAGCCUGACGCAGCGACGCCGCGUGAGGGAUGACGGCCUCGG
rnacentral:rRNA from 1 species